GUGAUAGCCAGGUGUAACAGUGGUAGCCAGGUGUAACAGUGGUAGCCAGGUGUAACAGUGAUAGCCAGGUAUACUAGUGGUAGCCAGGUGUAACAGUGAUAGCCAGGUGUAACAGUGGUAACCGGGUGUAACAGUGGUAACCAGGUGUAACAGUGAUAGCCAGGUGUAACAGUGGUAUCCAGGUGUAACAGUGAUAGCCAGGUGUAACAGUGGUAGCCAGGUCUAACAGUGAUAGCCAGGUGUAACAGUGGUAGACAGGUCUAACAUUGAUAGCCAGGUGUAACAGUGGUAGCCCGGUGUAACAGUCGUAACCAGUUGUAACAGUGAUACGGUUU
ensembl:lncRNA